ACUGAGUGCACAUACUGAAUAAAAAUUCAUGGUUUAAAGCAGUAUUGCUCCAAGGGAGAAUUUUAAAGCAGUUCAGCAUAUUGUUUCAGUGCAAUCUGAUUCAGACUUAAUAGUUUUUCUUCAAACACUUUCCAGCUCUGUGUUUAAAAUAGUGUGAACUGCUUCUAAUUGUACCUUAUUUUGGGAAAGUAAAUUAUUUUUAAUAUAUAAACAGUCUUACCUGCUUUUUAAUGGGUUUGAUGGCAGUUCAACUUUUACUUUCUUUCUUUUGCUGUUACUGCAUAGUAACUGCAAAGUAAUUCCUGAACUGGUAUCCCAUACACAGGUAGGGACACAACCUACUUCAUGAAAUGCUGCUUAGAUGCAUCAGUUUUCAGUUAAGAUUGCAUAAUUUUAUUUCAGUGACAUCUUAAGAAAAACUGAAUAAAUUAUAUAUAGCACUAAAUGCAGUAAUGACUUCAACCUGGGCAAAUUUCAGAAAGGUUUAAGCAGUUAUCAGAAAUGUGUUGGAUUUGACAGAUGAGGUGACCAAAAAGUGUAAAGGAGACAAGAAGUGAAAACUAUGCAACGUUUGUCCCAUAUGAACUUCAGUCUCUUUCUGGAGCAAACAUGAGAAUUCCUUGCUUUAAUGUUGACUGGAUAUAGUAGCUAGGUUAUUUUGAUAUAGAUUUACAAAAUCAUUGAAUGGCAAUAUAGCUGUGCCUUUCUUCUGGUGACUAUAUUUCUGUACUGCAGAUGAAGGUUGUCCUUCGUGCUCAUCUCUUGGAGCCUUGUACAAUUGGCACAGAAAGAGGGAAUUGGGGAUGGCGUGCUGGAAACCCCAGUGUCUUAAGUUUACCAUACUGGUAGAGCGGAAGAG